UACAGAGGGUGCGAGCGUUAAUCGGAUUUACUGGGCGUAAAGAGCACGUAGGUGGUUAAAUAAGUCUGUUAUAAAAGCCCCGGGCUUAACCUGGGAACUGUGAUAGAAACUAUUUAGCUAGAGUAUGGGAGAGGAGAGUAGAAUGUCUGGUGUAGCGGUGAAAUGCGUAGAUAUCAGACAGAAUGACAGUGGCGAAGGCGACUCUCUGGUCCAAGACUGACACUGAGGUGCGAAAGCGUGGGGAGCAAAAGGG
rnacentral:rRNA from 1 species